UACGAAGGGGGCUAGCGUUGCUCGGAAUUAUUGGGCGUAAAGGCGCGUAGGCGGUGCGGUAAGUCUGUAGUGAAAUCUCUGGGCUCAACUCAGAGUCUGCUGCAGAAACUGCCGUGCUUGAGUGUGGGAGAGGUGAGUGGAAUUCCCGGUGUAGCGGUGAAAUUCGUAGAUAUUGGGAAGAACACCGGUGGCGAAGGCGGCUCACUGGCUCGUAACUGACGCUCAUGCACGACAGCGUGGGGAUCAAACAGG
rnacentral:rRNA from 1 species